CGUCUAUAUACGUAUAGCAUAUCAAUAAGCGGAGGAAAAGAAACUAACUAGGAUUCCCUCAGUAACGGCGAGUGAAGCGGGAAGAGCUCAAAUUUGAAAUCUUCAAGGUUUACCUUGACGAAUUGUAGUUUAAAGAAGUGUUUUCUGUUGGAGUUUUGGUAAAAGUUCUUUGGAAUAGGACAUCAUAGAGGGUGAGAAUCCCGUAUUUGACCAUUAUUUCCAACUUUGUGAUACACUUUCAAAGAGUCGGAUUGUUUGGGAAUGCAGUCCAAAAUGGGUGGUAAAUUUCAUCUAAAGCUAAAUACUGGCGAGAGACCGAUAGCGAACAAGUACCGUGAGGGAAAGAUGAAAAGAACUUUGAAAAGAGAGUUAAACAGUACGUGAAAUUGUCAAAAGGGAAGCGUUUGACACCAGUGUUGUUUUCUCGAAAAUCAAUUAAAAAUGGCGGGAUUUUGCUGUUGUAUUGACCUUAUCAGCUUUCUGCACUUUUUUCCUGUCUUUUUUAAUGCACUUUUCGUUUAACAAGUCAACAUCAAUUUCUUUUGUUGUAAAAGGGUCAUUGGAAGGUGGCUUUCUUUUCGGAGAAAGUGUUUAUAGCCUUUGACUUCUGCAAUCGGAGAGAUUGAGGUCUGCAGCGUAGAUCCUUCGGGGUUAGAUGCAUUUGUGCUAAGUUAUAGCCUUUCAUAGACAACUUGUUGACUAUGAUCAGUCAUGUAGCUUACUCGCUUAUGCUAUUUUACCUACGCUUAGGAUGUUGACGAUCAGCUGAGCGC
rnacentral:rRNA from 1 species